UUUGAACAUCCGGUCCUUCAGUUUUUUGAAAAGAAGACGGACGCCAUUGAAGUUCAGCGCGGGAUAUGAAAAGGGUCGGCACCGUGGACUAGAAAAGUAUCUCAAACUGCAGCCUGUUCUUUUGAAAGUUUCAUUGAAGAAUUUGCGCUAGUAGAUUCUUCUACUCCAAAUUCUUCACUUUUGAGUGGAGUGGUAUGGGGUGAUAUGGACUCUUCAAACAAGGCACAUCAAUCCACUGGUGCAGGAGGCGAGAACACCUGCCAUAGGAGAUGCAGCAGAGAAGGCCAAACGAAUGGUCCAGGAGGUUCUGGAAAAGAGUUCAGGGGGAGAGGAAAUAAUGGAGGAUUAUAGAAGAUCAAGCACCUUGAUUCACUGCACAAGAAGACUUCUUGUGAAUAUUCCAUCAGCCACAUGAUUGAAAUGCAUGGGAACACUUCUACGACCCUGUGAGUGGGACAGGCUAUGGCAUGGCGUCCAGAAACUGCGGCGAUGAGUGUCCCCGCGUUCGGUCAAGAACAACUCGGGGAGCCUUGCAUUUCAUACGUGAACACCAUGAUCAUUGAAGUUAUGUUAAGGUAGCAAGUUACAGUGUGGGUAUACCUCCGGAACACUUAACAAAACUGUCGAUACUCGAUAACAUGGGUCAAGAUUGAUGGCUCUGAAUAUGGGGAGGGAUUUGUUCUUUGCACUUAAGUCAAGGAUGAAAUUCCAGUGUU